rnacentral:tRNA from 1 species
AUUUAAAUAGUUUAAUUAAAAUACUAAUUUGUGGAAUUAGAGAUAUAAUUCUUUUAUUUUAAAUU